CCUCCCUCUAGCGUCGCUUUUUUGAUGACGUAGACAAACGUUCUCCAGAGUUGAGCGCGUGUUGUUGUUUUUGUGCGGCGCUAUCAUGAAACCCUUCAAGCCCGCAUUAACGGCGAAACCAAAGAAAUGUUGCUUUUAACAGGUCAUCUGCCAACUACAAGGUCAGGUGACUGGAGAAGCAGCGCGGUCGAUGGAGAAUGGUCUCUUUGCUCUACAAGGUCUUCCACAUCUUCAGGCUGCUUUUGGGAUGCAACGACUGAGAGAGAGAGGGGGAGGAGGAGGAGGAAGGGAGGGUCCACGGACUGGUCUAGGGCAAGUGAAUAGGGCCCACUUGAAGGAUAUAAUAGGGGCUCUCUAUUGGUUUGUUUUGGAAGCUGUCUUAUUGAUCUGUCUACCUUAGAAGUGAAUGCACUGGCCGAAUUUCCUAACAAUGACACUCAAGGCCUGUAUUAACUGGCCUAUUUGUUGUGUAUUAACUGGAGAGUUCGUUGUUACUGUACUCUUUCUCCAAUAGCUAUUAUCCAUCCCUAUAGAUCGACAAUCCCAAUCAAUGCCAGGUAGAUGAGCAGCCAUAUUUUUUUUCUUUGAUGCCAAAACAUAUCACUCCAAGUGCUCUCAAGUAUAGGUUAGAGGAUAUGAUAUGAAUUAUUUUUAGACCGUGAAGUAACUGCAUUUAGCUGAAAAAAGGCUUUCCACAUUAGAUUGGACUUUUUUUUUUGUUCCAAUAGUUUUUUUCUUAAUAGGAUAGCUGCAGUGGUGUAGUAUGCACGCACCUAAGAAGAGUUUUAUUGGCUCAAAUAAUACUAUUGUUUUCUGAAGGUGAGACACUACACUCAUUUCUUGCUCCGGUCAUAGUAAUGCUGCUGAUUGUGGCUGAAAGCACAUCCAACUUAAACACAUUGUAAGUAUGGCAACUAUCAAAAUAAAACUUACUGAAUAGUUGCUUCUAGCACUGAUAAAUACAUACGCUUCAUUUUUGCUUUUUAUUCAUUAAUAUUUUGUAAUAAAUUCCUGCCUACUCAAUCAACCCAAACAAAUCCAUCCGUAUUGACUGGCCAAAAUACUGUUGCUCCACACCUUUUGCCUGGGUCUACUAAGAAUAUAGGCAACUCUGAGUGAAUGAAAAUAAAUAGCUAUUGGCAAUGGCUCAAGUAUUUAACAAAGCUUUUUCAGACUUACUUUUUUGAAAAACAUACUGAAUGGAAAUUUCCGUGUCAAGGCUAAAACACACAAAUAGAUGUGUACACUGUGUAUUUAAAUGCACUCACAAUAUAAUUUGAAUGUGGAAGAAUAUGUAAAAGGAAAUGUUUUGGUUUGUAAGGUAUUCUGGGAAAACAUUUUUGAAAUUCACCUUUGACCUUACUGGAGUGUGUGUAAAUUAACAUUCCAGACAACUUUUUUUUAUUUUUUUUUUUAUUUUACCAUGAACACAGAAUGUGCCUUUGUAGAAUCACAACUUCAUUCAACAGAAGUGAGGUUAAACAUCUGGACUUUGGUUAUUAGAUCAAGUGGUUAAGUUUUAUCAAUUUACCAGCUGAACUUGGAUGUCAUCACAACUAUAUUACAUUAUUAAACAUUUUCAACUACAACACUACUUAACAAUGUUUACAUGUUCCUUCUUAAAAGCAACUAUCAUACAAAGUUUGAUUCUGUAGAAAAAUUUUGUUUUGAAAUUAAUUCAUAUUUAUAUUAAUUUAUUCCUGUGUCCAUACAUUUGUCAUGUGUUGGAGCCAAUACAAAUUCAGCAGUACAAUUUCAAUAAGUAUGUCUCACACACAAUUAUGUUGUUCUGUCAAUAAAAUAUGCUUUAAUGAUCUAUGUUGGAUUUUAGAUUGUGUAAUUAUAGUAUAUAUAUUGGUUUAUACACUUCCCACAUCCCAGGUCAAG